rnacentral:rRNA from 1 species
AUGCGCGCUCCGGCGAUACUGCUGCACCGCAGCACGGCCGCCGCCGGCCUCAGCGAGCCUCCGUCGCUGCUGCCGCCUCGGCCCGAGCAGCAGACAUCGCUUGUGGUCACCGUGCACUCGGACAUGGUGGUGAUCCUGGCGUCGCUGCUGUGCGUCCUCAGCUGCGUCCUCGGCCUCGCCCUCCUGUCCCGGCACGCGUGCCGCCGACGACCCUCUGACCGCUACCCUCCUCCCCCCACGGGCCUCAGGAAGAAGGCAAUCGACGCGCUCCCCACCGUCUCCUUCGCCGCGGCCGCCUCGUCGUCGUCGGAGUGUGCUAUAUGCCUGGCGGAAUUUGCCGACGGGGAGGCCGUGCGCGUGCUCCCAGGAUGCGGCCACGGCUUCCACAUCGCCUGCGUCGACGCCUGGCUCCGGACGCGCGCCUCGUGCCCGUCCUGCCGGGCCUCCAUCGUUGCCACGCCCAUGCAGAUGCAGGUACAGCCAGCGGCGGCGCCCACCGUGGUAGUCGUCGUGGCAGGGAAUAGCAGGUGCGGGAGAUGCGGCGAGCUGACGGCGGCGGCCGGUGCACGCGCCGCGGAUGGCGCGGUCUUGGCUUAG